rnacentral:rRNA from 1 species
AGGGCGCAUGGUGGAUGCCUUGGUGUUAGAAGCCGAUGAAGGACGUGGUAAGCUGCGAUAAGCCUUGAUGAGUUGCACGCAAACUUUGAUUCAAGGAUUUCCGAAUGGAUAAUCUGGUAGGUUAAUAACCUAUCAUCUUAGAGUUAAUUCAUAGCUCUAAGAAGGGAACUGGGUGAACUGAAACAUCUUAGUAACCCAAGGAAAGGAAAGCAAAAGCGAUUCUCUAAGUAGCGGCGAGCGAACAGGGAACAGCCCAAACUGUAAUAGUGUCAAAUUUAUGGAUCUUGCUAUUACAGGGUUGUAGGACUAUUAGAUGUCGCCAUAACGACAUCAUAGUAUUGCUUUUAUUUAAUUGAAGUAGCUGGAAAGCUACACCACAGAAGGUAAUAGUCCUGUAAAUGAAAAAUAAAAGUAGACUAGAUAGUAUCCUGAGUACCAUGAGUCACGAGAAACCUCGUGGGAAGCAAGGAGGACCAUCUCCUAAGGCUAAAUACUUUCUAACGACCGAUAGUGAACUAGUACCGUGAGGGAAAGGUGAAAAGAACCCCGGAAGGGGAGUGAAAUAGAAUCUGAAACCAUGUGCCUACAAGCAGUCAGAGGACGUAUAUUAUCAGUCUGAUGGCGUGCUUUUUGCAUAACGAACCGGCGAGUUAUGAUAUGUAGCGUUUAGGUUAAGCUUUGAAUGUGAAGCCGUAGCGAAAGCGAGUCUUAAAAGGCGUUAGUUAUAUGUCAUAGACCCGAAACCGAGUGAUCUAUCCAUGGUCAGGGUGAAGCACGUGUAAGAACGUGUGGAGGCCCGAACUACAUUGACGUUGAAAAGUCAUGGGAUGAACUGUGGAUAGGGGUGAAAGGCCAAUCGAACUCGGAGAUAGCUGGUUCUCCCCGAAAUAGCUUUAGGGCUAGCCUUAAGUGAAUGCCCUUUGGCGGUAGAGCACUGAUUGGACUAGGGGCUUUAUUAAGUUACCGAAUCCAGUCAAACUCCGAACGCUGAAGUGGUUUAUCUUAGGAGUCAGACUAUGUGGGAUAAGCUUCAUAGUCGAGAGGGAAACAACCCAGAUCGUCAGUUAAGGUCCCAAAGUAUGGACUAAGUGGCAAAGGAUGUGAGAUUGCAUAGACAACCAGGAUGUUGGCUUAGAAGCAGCCAUUCAUUUAAAGAGUGCGUAAUAGCUCACUGGUCGAGUGGUCUUGCGCCGAAAAUGUCCGGGGCUUAAGUCCAUCACCGAAACUACGGAUUGUUUUUACAGUGGUAGGGGAGCUUUCUAUUUGGAUUGAAGCAGUACCGUAAGGAGCUGUGGACUGUAUAGAAGUGAUAAUGCCGGUAUGAGUAACGAUAAGAUAGGUGAGAAUCCUAUCCGCCGAAAGUCUAAGGUUUCCUGAGGAAGGCUCGUCCGCUCAGGGUAAGCCGGGACCUAAGCCGAGGCCGAAAGGCGUAGGCGAUGGAUAAUUGGUUAAAAUUCCAAUGCCACCUCCUUACCAUUAUGAGUGAUGGGGGGACGCAGGAGGAUAUGUUAGCCUGACAACGGUUUGUCAGGUCGAAGCACCUAGGAGGAUAGUUUAGGUAAAUCCGAACUAUCUUAACUCUAAAGUGUGAUCGGGAGCUUCUAAGGAAGCGAAGUAAUUGAUUCCACACUGCCAAGAAAAUCCUCUAGCCAGGUAAGUGGUGCCCGUACCGUAAACUGACACAAGUAGACGAGAUGAGAAUUCUAAGGCGCGCGAGAGAACCUUCGUUAAGGAACUCGGCAAAAUUGCCCCGUAACUUCGGGAGAAGGGGUGCCUCAUUAGGGUGUAUGCCCAAAGAGGUUGCAGUGAAUAGGCCCAAGCGACUGUUUACCAAAAACACAGGUCUCUGCUAAGACGUAAGUCGAUGUAUAGGGGCUGACGCCUGCCCGGUGCUGGAAGGUCAAGGGGAAAUGUUAGGAUUAUUCCAAAGCAUUGAACUUAAGCCCCAGUAAACGGCGGCCGUAACUAUAACGGUCCUAAGGUAGCGAAAUUCCUUGUCGGGUAAGUUCCGACCUGCACGAAUGGCGCAACGACUUGGGCACUGUCUCAACGAAGGACUCGGUGAAAUUGUAGUACCUGUGAAGAUGCAGGUUACCCGCGACAGGACGGAAAGACCCCGUGGAGCUUUACUGUAGUCUGAUAUUGAAUUUUGGUCCAAUAUGUACAGCAUAAGUGGGAGGCUUUGAAGUCGGUACGCUAGUAUCGGUGGAGCCAAAGGUGGGAUACCACUCUUAUUGUGCUGGAAUUCUAACCAUGUGCUGUUAUCCAGUGCUGGGACAGUUUCAGAUGGGCAGUUUGACUGGGGCGGUCGACUCCUAAAGAGUAACGGAGUCGCCCAAAGGUUCCCUCAGUGCGGUCGGAAAUCGCACGAAGAGUGUAAAGGCAGAAGGGAGCUUGACUGCGAGACAUACAGGUCGAGCAGGGACGAAAGUCGGGCUUAGUGAUCCGACGGUAGAGAAUGGAAUUGCCGUCGCUCAACGGAUAAAAGUUACCCCGGGGAUAACAGGCUUAUCUCCCCCAAGAGUUCACAUCGACGGGGAGGUUUGGCACCUCGAUGUCGGCUCGUCGCAUCCUGGAGCUGAAGCAGGUUCCAAGGGUUGGGCUGUUCGCCCAUUAAAGCGGUACGCGAGCUGGGUUCAGAACGUCGUGAGACAGUUCGGUCCCUAUCCGUCGUGGGCGUAGGAUAUUUGAAGGGAUCUAUCCCUAGUACGAGAGGACCGGGAUGGACGUACCUCUGGUGUACCAGUUGUCUUCCAAAGGCAUUGCUGGGUAGCUACGUACGGAUCAGAUAAACGCUGAAAGCAUCUAAGCGUGAAACUGACCUUAAGAUGAGAUAUCCCAUAGAGUCAAUCUAGUAAGAUCCCUGAUAGACUAUCAGGUUGAUAGGUCGGAGGUGUAAGGAUAGUAAUAUCUUUAGCUGACCGAUACUAAUAGAUCGAGGACUUAAUCU